rnacentral:rRNA from 1 species
UACGGAGGGUGCAAGCGUUAUCCGGAUUUAUUGGGUUUAAAGGGUCCGUAGGCGGAUCUGUAAGUCAGUGGUGAAAUCUCACAGCUUAACUGUGAAACUGCCAUUGAUACUGCAGGUCUUGAGUGUUAUUGAAGUAGCUGGAAUAAGUAGUGUAGCGGUGAAAUGCAUAGAUAUUACUUAGAACACCAAUUGCGAUGGCAGGUUACUAAGCAACAACUGACGCUGAUGGACGAAAGCGUGGGGAGCGAACAGG